GGCUCUUACAGUCUCAGCCAUGGUUGCAUACCUUCCAAGCUCCACCGCCUCUUCUUCCUCGUGGGCAGAUCCCUGAUUUUGUGUAGGACAGUACUUGAAAUGUAUUUGUGUGCUCAACAUUGGUUUCCUCUCUGGAACCUGGGAUCACUUCAGGGGUGGGCACGUGGCCCAACCAUGACUGAUGAGACAUGCGGGGAAAUUUGCAGAGGCAACUUCUAGGAAAGGUUGGGCUCUUGCAGCCACCCUGUGACUAUAAGGUGAGAAGCUUGUCCAGUGUGAUAGCCGAUCCACUGAAGAUGACAAGGAAAACAGCAGAAAGGAACCAGGCUACUUGAUCAUAGUGAGAGCUGAUAAGGCAGCCAAUCUGAAUUUCUUUCUGCGUAAAACAAUUAACAUUAGUGUUUCAUUGCAUUUUCUAUUGCUUGCAGCCAAAAAUACUCUAACCACUGUCCUUGGGCAAAUUACUGACCUCUUUAAGCCUUGAUUUUCUCAUCUCUGAGAGAUGAACACAAGAGUUUGUAUUUCAUUGAAUGAGAUAAGGUAAUGAUAAGAGUAAGAAAUAUUUAUGCUGCACUUACUAUGUGCUCAACUCUGUUCAAAACAGUUUACUCAUUUAACAUACGUAUCAUGCUUAGCCUAGGAUCCUGAACCUUUUACGUUCUCAAACUUACCCUUAUAAUCAUUGCGAUUGCAGGAACUAGGCUAUUAAUUCAGACCUUCUGUUCCUAGACAUUUUACCAACAGUGAAAGUAACCUUUCACUCCUCCCACCACCCCACAAGGAAAAUUACAGGAGCAUUUGAAAACAUUUUUGAAACUCAAAUGCUCUCACAAUUGAAUGACACAGGAAUCAAUACUUAGAAAACUCUGCCUUUUCAGUGUUCAGAGUAUAAUGCAUAUUUUUAAAAAUAGACUCAAUACAAGUUCUUGCAAAUCUAUUUGGAAGUGAAAAGAGCUCAUUAUAACAAUGGUUCUGGAUGGAUUACAAACUUCUCAGUUUAGAAAUGGGUUUUUGUUUUGUUAGUACACCAUGCUCUCUACUAUUAUUUACUGCAUAGUUUGAGUCACUCACUAGUCAAUUUCUCAACGCUUUGUCAAGGACUAUGAAGGGUUGAAGAUUUACUCUACUUGAGAACGAACCAGGUAGCCUCCCACAAUUUCACAGAUGCUGGCAGAAGACAGGGCACUCCUCGGUUAGACACCUAGGGCUUCAUUACUUAGGGCCCAGCAGUCAGUGUGGGCACCAGUUCCCCUUACCCCUCUUCCCAUUCCCACAGCUCAUGGUAUGGGGGUGGGUCCACGUGGACACUGCACAGAGUUGAGGAACCUUGCAUUUAAGAAGCCUUAAUCUUACAAGGGGCUGAUAGCAAACUUUCCCAAACCUUGUCCCAGAGAAAGAUAUUGUCUUUAUCAUCCUGAUCUGAAUACUAAUCUUCCCUCUGUAGAAGGAGACAGUAUCUCUGUUUCCUAAGGCUCUUGCUGGACAAACAUCUUUGAAAGGACAGUUCAGAGGAGAUGCUGUCAGAGUCUUAGCUCACAAGAUGUGCAGAAAUGGAAAGGCCAUGGAGAAUUGUCUCCCAACACUGGGAAACCACUCAGUCUCACUCACCUCUACCAUGCUUUUUUAGUGUACCCUAUUUUUUUUCUCAGCAAAGCUGCUUGCUAUAUUUGCAUUUGGCUCUGAGCUGACCCCAACCUCAAGUGUUACCUCUUGGUCAUCCACCACUUUCUGAAUAAAUUAUAUUCAGUGGUCCAAGUUCAGAUGACGAGGGAAGGGAAUCUGAUGGAUCCAGCUUGGGUCCAGUAUCCAGGCCUGGUUCAAUUAGUGUCAUCAGGGGUCAGUGCCAUUUAACACACUUUGCCCACCCUCUGUGGAUGGGCAGGAGUGGGUAGAGUCCUGUAGGGUAAGGACAGGGAGACAGCCUUGGUAAAAGUUCAUUUAACAAGGAUGGAUUGCAUAACUGGUUUCAUCAUUGUUAGUAGCAGUAGUCUCUUUAUAAAUCUUAUAAAUCACUUAUAUUGAAAAAAGUCAUCAAGCAUGACUCAAAUAACUUCAGCAGAAAACAGUCACCCUAAUAAAGUCAUUUAAUUAUAUAUGUCUAUAUAUUCUGAAUAUUCAGCGAAGUGGAUUAUGCCAACCGGCUGAGUGUAUCCAGAGUGAUGCUUGACAGCUCCUUUUAUUGCUAAUGGCUCACAGAGUUUAUGCCCUUUAGGAAGUGCCAGAAUCAUUAGUACUGUCACUGAAAUGUGCUGUUAAUGUAAAUUCUACUCAGAAAAAUGGAACAGCAAUUGCAAAACCAGCAGCUGGAGAAUGGGCAGCCCAGUGAGGAAAGAUCAAUGGGAGAAAGGCUUGUAACUUUCUCCCAUUUUCUAGAAAUUCGUGACUUUCUAGAAAACGAAGCCAGUCUCAACAGUGCCUCCAAGGACCUGAAGCUUCUCCAAGUGCUGUUUUGAAUGGGAAGGGAGGAGUCGGAACUGGUCAUCCAGGACUGUCUACAUGGCCUCUCUCUAUUCUCAUCUUCCUCUAAGAAAUUUCUCCAGUUUUUCAAUCUUGACCUCUCAGAAAAAAGAGAUUCUGAUCUUGUGAACUGAUGCUGCAUGUUGAAUGAGUUUUCAUCCUGCAUGAUACUUCAUGGAUUUAUUUGCAUUUUAAUUAUUCUUUUAUUCAAAAGAGCCAUAGAAAAGAAAAGUCUGACCCAAGUUUUGUCAAGAUAAAGCAGAGUAUGGGAAGUGGGCAACUGUGAGAACUUGGUUAGAGCCAGUCUGUAUAGUUCAGUAUUUAAUGGGGAAGUUUGGGGUGUGGGAAAUGGGACCUAUUUCCUUUGCUCUUGAGGUUAGGUUGAGCCAUCUGGCUCCCUGCCCUGCAGUUCCCAUAACUGAAGAGUUAUACAUCCCAUAACCCCUGCCCACUAGUGAACCCCUUCCUCAGCUCUGGGACUGAUUGUCUUCAAGCUGAGCACACACUGAGCACUGGGCCUGCCUUCUUCCUAACACAGGUUUUUGUAAGCUCCAGACAUUGGAUAAAGCAUUUUGAGGGAUAGGUGAAAACGAAAUCCUGCUCUUUACUCUUGAGAACUCACUCUGCUGUGGGAGGAGAGACAGGCAGGUAUAUCAAAGGGAAAAAUAGUAACAGUUCUGGUGGAGAGACCUGGUGAGCAACACCUUAAACCAAGUGAUGAAAGCUGAAAUCAGCAACACUGGGAUGAACCUGCAUCACGUUAUAGCGGAUGUGAUGCCCUGACAAGAGCACCAGUCCUGUUUGCAGCAUCACUGUCCCAGAUGCAUGCCUGAAUCUGUUCCUUAGGAUACAUCAGGAAACCCAAGCUGAGGAAUGUUCUACUAAAUAAAUGAUCUCUACUCUUCAAAAACAUGUGGGUCAAGUGACGGGUGCCGAGGAGAGGGAGAGGGUCUAGGAAGACCCUAGUUGGGACAAUUCAAAUGUGGCCUGUGCAUUUCAUACUGGUACUGUUCAAUGUGAAAUUUCUUGAUUUUUGUAAGAUUCUCCCUGGGGCCUGAUAGCUUAAAGGGAUGAGUAACUCCUCCCUUCUCAGGCCCUGUCCCAAGGUGCAAGGCCACUUGCAUCAGCUGCCUGCACCAGCAAGAUAGCAGAAGCAGGAAGAGAGCCAGCCAGAAGACACGUACCCCUGAAGAUUGAGAAACAGGCCAUCCGGGUACAACGUAGCAAUUACGUCAGACUAGGACACUUCCUGUUUAAAGGAGACUAUAAAACCUUUGUCCUGUCCUCACUUGGGGCUGACACCAUUUUAGGCCUCAACCCGCCUGCACCCAGGUGCUCAUUAAAACAGCAUGUUGCUCCA